GUACACUCCUACGGGAGGCAGCAGUGGGGAAUAUUGGACAAUGGGCGCAAGCCUGAUCCAGCCAUGCCGCGUGAGUGAUGAAGGCCCUAGGGUUGUAAAGCUCUUUCACCGGUGAAGAUAAUGACGGUAACCGGAGAAGAAGCCCCGGCUAACUUCGUGCCAGCAGCCGCGGUAAUACGAAGGGGGCUAGCGUUGUUCGGAUUUACUGGGCGUAAAGCGCACGUAGGCGGACUAUUAAGUCAGGGGUGAAAUCCCGGGGCUCAACCCCGGAACUGCCUUUGAUACUGGAAGUCUUGAGUUCGAGAGAGGUGAGUGGAAUUCCGAGUGUAGAGGUGAAAUUCGUAGAUAUUCGGAGGAACACCAGUGGCGAAGGCGGCUCACUGGCUCGAUACUGACGCUGAGGUGCAAAAGCGUGGGGAGCAAACAGGAUUAGAUACCCGUGUAGUCCCAUG
rnacentral:rRNA from 1 species